rnacentral:rRNA from 1 species
ACGGGUGAGUAAUGCUUAGGAAUCUGCCUAUUAGUGGGGGACAACAUCUCGAAAGGGAUGCUAAUACCGCAUACGUCCUACGGGAGAAAGCAGGGGACCUUCGGGCCUUGCGCUAAUAGAUGAGCCUAAGUCGGAUUAGCUAGUUGGUGGGGUAAAGGCCUACCAAGGCGACGAUCUGUAGCGGGUCUGAGAGGAUGAUCCGCCACACUGGGACUGAGACACGGCCCAGACUCCUACGGGAGGCAGCAGUGGGGAAUAUUGGACAAUGGGGGGAACCCUGAUCCAGCCAUGCCGCGUGUGUGAAGAAGGCCUUUUGGUUGUAAAGCACUUUAAGCGAGGAGGAGGCUACCGAGAUUAAUACUCUUGGAUAGUGGACGUUACUCGCAGAAUAAGCACCGGCUAACUCUGUGCCAGCAGCCGCGGUAAUACAGAGGGUGCAAGCGUUAAUCGGAUUUACUGGGCGUAAAGCGCGCGUAGGUGGCCAAUUAAGUCAAAUGUGAAAUCCCCGAGCUUAACUUGGGAAUUGCAUUCGAUACUGGUUGGCUAGAGUAUGGGAGAGGAUGGUAGAAUUCCAGGUGUAGCGGUG